rnacentral:rRNA from 1 species
GUGAGGAAUAUUGGUCAAUGGGCGAGAGCCUGAACCAGCCAAGUCGCGUGAAGGAUGAAGGUUUUAUGAAUUGUAAACUUCUUUUGCAGGGGAAUAAAGUACGGUACGUGUACCGUUUUGUAUGUACUCUGCGAAUAAGGAUCGGCUAACUCCGUGCCAGCAGCCGCGGUAAUACGGAGGAUCCGAGCGUUAUCCGGAUUUAUUGGGUUUAAAGGGUGCGUAGGUGGUUUGAUAAGUCAGCGGUGAAAGUUUGCAGCUUAACUGUAAAAAUGCCGUUGAAACUGUCGGACUUGAGUGUAAAUGAGGUAGGCGGAAUGCGUGGUGUAGCGGUGAAAUGCAUAGAUAUCACGCAGAACUCCGAUUGCGAAGGCAGCUUACUAAGCUACAACUGACACUGAAGCACGAAAGCGUGGGGAUCAAACAGGAUUAGAUACCCCGGUAGUCC